GGUAGAAUCCCUCAGUGGUAGAGUUCCUGCCUUCCAUGCAAGAGGCCUGGGUUCAAUUCCCAGCCA
rnacentral:tRNA from 1 species